rnacentral:lncRNA from 1 species
AGGUGGGCCCAAUGUACUCACUGGGUCUUUAGAAAGGAAAGAGGCUGUGGGAGAGUCAGAGAUAGAGACAUCGUGAUGGAAGUAAAGGUCGGAGUGAGGUGCUGGCUGGUUUUGAAGCUGGAGGAAGAGGCCAUUUGACAAGAAAUCUGGGCAGCCUCUAGAAACUGGAAAAAGCAAGAAAGCAGAUUCUCCUCUAGAGCUUCCAGAAGGGAAGACAGGCGGGAAGACAUCAUGGUUUUAGCCCAACGAGAUCCAACUGGACUUCUGACCUCCAGAACUGCCAUUUGAACAAGGAAUAAAGAACAGAGCCAUCUUUGCUUCAUGGAAGAUCAGUUAUCUUAGAGAAGUGUACUAUGAACGGAGUAACUCCUAUUUUUUUCCUAUUAUCCACUCAUUGAAAAUCAAUUUUAUAUCCUUGGAGGAAUUAUCCAGCAAUUUGACAAGACGUAUCCAAAUCGUGACUGGUCAUCUCCAAUAUCCCGCCAGAUCUAUCAUGCAUUAUUCUCACUGUUCAAUGGAUUGCUGCUGUGGCUGCCAGGCCUGCCUGAUGGAUCUCAGAAUAACCAGGUCAGAAUGGCCUGCGCUGGUUGUGUAGUCACUUGUUCCAUGAUCAGAUGUUCAGCCCUAAUAGAGACCAAAGCAACUGCUGUUUUUAAAAUGAUGAGCGGCUCUCCACCAGAGAAGGCAAGAUCUGGCUUCAGUUCCUGAGAAGUCUGCUCUGGGCCUCUCCUUUUUGGCCCCCUACAGAUACCACACAGUACUUUAUCCACUCAGAUACCUCUAGCAGUGUCAGAUCAGUGGAGUCAUGUAGCCUGAGUGGAAAGGCGGCUUGCACUGCAGCCUUGAAAUGCUGCAGAACAUUUACUUGCCCAGGGACUUCUGAAUCACCUGACAAAUUCAUUGGAA